ensembl:lncRNA
GUUAGUGUGAGCAUUGGGUUAGUGUGAGCAUUUCAUUGGGUUAGUGUGAGCAUUGGGUUAGUGUGAGCAUUGGGUUAGUGUGAGCAUUGGGUUAGUGUGAGCAUUGGGCUAGUGUGAGCAUUGGGUUAGUGUGAGCAUUUCAUUGGGCUAGUGUGAGCAUUUCAUUGGGCUUAGUUGAGCAUUGGGUUAGUGUGAGCAUUGGGUUAGUGUGAGCAUUGGGUUAGUGUGAGCAUUGGGUUAGUGUGAGCAUUUCAUUGGGUUAGUGUGAGCAUUUCAUUGGGUUAGUGUGAGCAUUUCAUUGGGUUAGUGUGAGCAUUGGGUUAGUGUGAGCAUUGGGUUAGUGUGAGCAUUGGGUUAGUGUGAGCAUUGGGUUAGUGUGAGCAUUGGGUUAGUGUGAGCAUUUCAUUGGGUUAGUGUGAGCAUUGGGUUAGUGUGGGCAUUGGGUUAGUGUGGGCAUUGGGUUAGUGUGAGCAUUGCAUUGGGUUAGUGUGAGCAUUUCAUUGGGUUAGUGUGAGCAUUGGGUUAGUCAUUUCAUUGGGUUAGUGUGAGCAUUGGGUUAGUGUGUG